AUCCACAAUUCCUCCUAUUCUGUGUAUGGCACUGGUAGAAUUCACUGUCACAGCACUCUAUCAGUGAAUUACCAUAGGGCCAUAAACAGAGUAGAGACAGAACCUCAGU
ensembl:miRNA mir183-1 microRNA mir-183-1